CGAGUGAGCCAGGCGACCGCGGAGGGCCGGUAACGGGCCUUCGAGGAAAGUCCGAACUCCCCAGAGCACGAUGCUGGAUAACGUCCAGGCGGGGUGACCCGACGGCACAGUGCAACAGAGAGGAGAUUGCCGCCUGCAGGCAGGGCCCUGGUUCUGCGGCCGGCGGUGAGGGUGAAACGGUGGUGUAAGGGACCACCGGCGGCCCGGGCGACCGGGUCGGCCAGGCAAACCCCAUCGGGAGCAAGACCAAGCAAGGGGCGUCCCGAGCAUGCUCGGGACAGAGGCUGCUCGUCUCAGGCCCCGGGUAGGUCGCACGAGGCGCCGAGCAAUCGGCGUCCCAGAUAGAUGGUCGCCAGCGCCGUCGACGUGCGGCGCGACAGAAUUCGGCUUAUCGGCUCACUCGCCUC
rnacentral:RNase_P_RNA from 1 species